ACUCUCCUUUGGCUCCUUGCCGUGUGGGACUGAGCAACUGCUAGAUCCUUGGACUUCCAUUCUACAGCUGCUACUGACCGUUGUUGGGAGUUGGACUGCAGGCUGGACCAGCGGCCCAUCACAGCAGAAGAGAACGGAGCACUUUAACCUAUAAAGACAAAGAAUUCUACAGUUUGCAGUUGCAGUUCCUGCCCAAUGGUUUCUUUUGCUCAGUGGACCAUUAGUAAAAUGCGUGGGAAAAGUUGGACUGAAAAUGGGGAAAGAAGGAGUCCCCUCCACAACCUCGUGCUCAAGAGAUUCAGAGGGAGCAGCCUCAAGGACCAAGUGCUCAAGAGACUCAGAGCGAGGACCCUCAAGAACUUCGUGCUCAAGAGAUUCAGAGGGAGCACCCUCAAGGACCAUGUGCUCAAGAGACUCAGAGCGAGCAACCUCAAGAACUUCGUGGUCAAGAGACUCAAAGGGAGCACCUUCCACAACUUCAUGCUCAAGAGACUCAGUGGGAGUACCCUCCAUGACCUCGUGUUCAAGAGACUAAGAGUGAGCACCCUCGAGAACCUCAUGCUCAAGAGAUUCAGAGGGAGCGCCCUCCAGGAUCUCGUGCUCAGGAGAUUCAGAGGGAGCACCCUCCAGAACCUCGUGCUCAAGACACUAAUAGGGAGCACUCUCCAGGAUCUCGUGCUCGGGAGAUUCAGAGGGAGCACCCUCCACAGCCUCAUGCUUAGGAAACUCAGAAGGAGCUCCCUCUGUGACCUCGUGCUCAGGAGACUCAAAGAGAGCACCCUCCAAGACGUCAUGAUCAGGAGACUCAGAUGGAACAAUCUCAAAAACCUCAUGCUCAGGAGACUCAGAGGGAGCACUCUCCAAAACCUCAUGUUCAAGAGAAAAAUGGUGAUUGAACCUUAUAUCAAGGUAGAACCGUGAGUCUGGUACUGUAGCAGCCAGCCAAUACCUUUCCAUCCACUCAGGAAUUAGCCUGCUCUGUCACGUCACCCCAAUGUCUCUACCAAACAUUUCAGGAAGACAAAGAAAAAUCUGUCUCUUCUGGCCGAGAUUUGAUUGACAAUCCCAGUUUCUCUAUUUUUUUGUCAGUGCAUCCCAACGUAGGAUCAAUCACAAAAGGCCAAAUAUGUUCCACAAACCAACAUGUAGGAGCUCUGAUUAAACCUACCACCUUCAUCUUUCCGGUGACAAAGGCUUCCAAUCCUGACCUUCCCUAUUUCCACUGUGCUGUGUUCCAGUUCCCAGCCUGCUCUCAACACUUUGCCAUAGUGGAGAUAAUGGAGAUAUCGCUACCUGCCAAGGCAUAGCGACCUGGGAACAAACAGCCAGCACCUACUCUAUCUUGUGUGAUCUUCAUUUACUUAAUAACUGCAAGAAAAUUGUUGAAUUGAGAAUGAAACUGAGUAAUGAGUUAUCUCCAGGGAAUCCAGACUAAUGCUCAUACAGCUCCGUUUCUGUCUUCAGUUUUUGUUUGAAUGAUUUUGAUGGCCUCACUCAUUGUUGAUAGCUCCUACUGAAACUAGCUGUCCUUUUCUAGUCUCUGUGUUGUUCUUAGUAAAACAAUGGACAAAAACG